AAGAAGCCUAGCAGUACUGAGAAGCAAAGCCCAACCACCAACUUUACCCCAAAAAAAAAAAAGGGAGACGCGUAUAUUUCUCUGAGCGAUGACUCGAGUGGUGCGCUUGUAUUGUUCUCCUCGAUUUUUUGCGCCUUGGCCCUCACAGUCCUUAGGCUAGCUGGCCAGGAUUCUGGAAAGCCUGGAAAGGAUUCAGAGGUUGACGUGUCUUUUAUGGUCGCAUAGAUCAGAUAUGUUGCCCAACACGUGGCCUCUUAUUGUCUUUGAUCCACUGCCAACUUCCUCAGGUGGACCC
rnacentral:lncRNA from 1 species